UACGAAGGGGGCUAGCGUUGCUCGGAAUCACUGGGCGUAAAGCGCACGUAGGCGGAUCUUUAAGUCAGGGGUGAAAUCCUGGAGCUCAACUCCAGAACUGCCCUUGAUACUGGCGGUCUCGAGUCCGGGAGAGGUGAGUGGAACUGCGAGUGUAGAGGUGAAAUUCGUAGAUAUUCGCAAGAACACCAGUGGCGAAGGCGGCUCACUGGCCCGGUACUAACGCUGAGGUGCGAAAGCGUGGGGAGCAAACAGG
rnacentral:rRNA from 1 species